rnacentral:misc_RNA from 1 species
AUUUUUCACAUAUAAUAAUUAACCCAUAUACUCAACUAUUAUGCAACAACUUCAAACAUGGAUAAGUGAGAAUCUCACUUUAUUUUCCCCAACUUAUUUUCUUUCCUUCCCUUUUUUCAUACAUCCAAACAGAGGCUUAAAGAGAAAGAUGCAAAAAGGACAAGUAGCUGAGGAGUAGAGGACUUGAAGAAAGCAUUGAUUUGAAUGACUACAUUGUAGCUUAUUUGGUGGGUAAAUUUCACCCAUCGUCCAUAAACUUAGAGCAUUGUAAAAGCGUCAUCCUUGAGCUUUAAUUUCUAAUAUAAAACACCUUAAACUUUAAUUUAAUAAACAAUAAACUUCAUAUGACCUAUUAUUGCCAGUUUAUAGGUAAACAGCGCGUAGUAGAU